AGAGUUUGAUCCUGGCUCAGGAUGAACGCUGGCGGCGUGCUUAACACAUGCAAGUCGAACGAGCCGAAUAACUUUGCGCAAAGUUAAAACAAUGUUUUAAUUUUGCGCAAGGCUAGGAAGCUAGUGGCGGACGGGUGAGUAACGCGUGAAUAAUCUACCCUAAACAGGGGGACAACAGGUGGAAACGCCUGCUAAUACCGCAUAAGCCCACACUAACAACGGUUAGAGGGGGAAAAGGAUACAAUUGUAUUCGGUUUAGGAUGAGUUUGCGUAUCAUUAGCUAGUUGGCGGGGUAAGAGCCCACCAAGGCAACGAUGAUUAGCCGACCUGAGAGGGUGAUCGGCCACACUGGAACUGAGAACGGUCCAGACUCCUACGGGAGGCAGCAGUGGGGAAUAUUGGGCAAUGGGCGAAAGCCUGACCCAGCAACGCCGCGUGAAGGAAGAAGGUCUUCGGAUUGUAAACUUCUGUUAUGGGGGAAAAAUAAAAUGAUGGUACCCCAUCAGAAAGCCACGGCUAACUACGUGCCAGCAGCCGCGGUAAUACGUAGGUGGCAAGCGUUAUCCGGAAUGACUGGGUGUAAAGGGAGUGUAGGUGGCAAGGUAAGUUAGAUGUGAAAGCCCAGGGCUCAACCCUGGAACUGCAUUUAAUACUGCCUAGCUAGAGUGCAGGAGAGGUAGAUGGAAUUCCUAGUGUAGCGGUAGAAUGCGUAGAUAUUAGGAGGAACACCAGAGGCGAAGGCGAUCUACUGGACUGUAACUGACACUGAAACUCGAAAGCGUGGGUAGCAAACAGGAUUAGAUACCCUGGUAGUCCACGCCGUAAACGAUGAUUACUAGAUGUGGGGAGUAUCGACUCUCUCCGUGUCGAAGCUAACGCGAUAAGUAAUCCACCUGGGGAGUACGACCGCAAGGUUGAAACUCAAAGGAAUUGACGGGGACCCGCACAAGCAGCGGAGCAUGUCGUUUAAUUCGUGGCAACGCGAAGAACCUUACCAAGGCUUGACAUUUAAUGCAUAACAUGGAAACAUGCUAAAUUAUAUAGUAAUAUAUAACAUUAGGACAGAUGGUGCAUGGUUGUCGUCAGCUCGUGUCGUGAGAUGUUGGGUUAAGUCCCGCAACGAGCGCAACCCUUGUCUUUAGUUACCAGCACAUAAUGGUGGGGACUCUAGAGAGACUGCCGUGGAUAACACGGAGGAAGGUGGGGAUGACGUCAAAUCAUCAUGCCUCUUACGCCUUGGGCUACACACGUGCUACAAUGGUCAUUACAAAGAGAUGCGAACCAGUAAUGGGGAGCCAACCUCAAAAAGAUGGCCUCACUUCGGAUUGUGGGCUGCAACCCGCCCAUAUGAAGAUGGAGUUGCUAGUAAUCCCGAAUCAGAAUGUCGGGGUGAAUGCGUUCUCGGGUCUUGUACACACCGCCCGUCACGCCAUGGGAAUUGGGAAUGCCCGAAGUCGGUGAGCUAACCUGUUUACAGGAGGCAGCUGCCUAAGGUAGAUUCAGUAACUAGGGUGAAGUCGUAACAAGGUAGCCGUAUCGGAAGGUGCGGCUG
rnacentral:rRNA from 1 species